GACGUAGGGUGCAAGCGUUAUCCGGAUUCACUGGGUUUAAAGGGUGCGUAGGUGGGAAUGUAAGUCAGUGGUGAAAUCUCCGUGCUUAACAUGGAAACUGCCAUUGAUACUAUGUUUCUUGAAUUUUCUGGAGGUAAGCGGAAUAUGUCAUGUAGCGGUGAAAUGCUUAGAUAUGACAUAGAACACCAAUUGCGAAGGCAGCUUACUACAGGGAUAUUGACACUGAGGCACGAAAGCGUGGGGAUCAAACAGG
rnacentral:rRNA from 1 species